UACGAGGUGCAGUCGUAAGUCGAAUCACGGUGGCGGUAAAGCGCACGUAGGCGGCUUUGUAAGUCAGACGUGAAAGCCCACGGCUCAACCGUGGAAUUGCGUUUGAUACUGCAUAGCUUGAGUCCUGGAGAGGGAAGCGGAAUUCCGGGUGUAGGAGUGAAAUCCGUAGAGAUCCGGAGGAACACCGGUGGCGAAGGCGGCUUCCUGGACAGGUACUAACGCUGAGGUGCGAAAGCGUGGGGAGCAAACAGGAUUAGAUACCCCUGUAGU
rnacentral:rRNA from 1 species